GAUGAACGCUGGCGGCGUGCUUAACACAUGCAAGUCGAACGAUGAAGCCCAGCUUGCUGGGUGGAUUAGUGGCGAACGGGUGAGUAACACGUGAGUAACCUGCCCUUAACUCUGGGAUAAGCCUGGGAAACUGGGUCUAAUACCGGAUAGGAGCGUCCACCGCAUGGUGGGUGUUGGAAAGAUUUAUCGGUUUUGGAUGGACUCGCGGCCUAUCAGCUUGUUGGUGAGGUACUGGCUCACCAAGGCGACGACGGGUAGCCGGCCUGAGAGGGUGACCGGCCACACUGGGACUGAGACACGGCCCAGACUCCUACGGGAGGCAGCAGUGGGGAAUAUUGCACAAUGGGCGCAAGCCUGAUGCAGCGACGCCGCGUGAGGGAUGACGGCCUUCGGGUUGUAAACCUCUUUCAGUAGGGAAGAAGCGAAAGUAACGGUACCUGCAGAAGAAGCACCGGCUAACUACGUG
rnacentral:rRNA from 1 species